AGAGACUGGCACUCACCUGUGUCACUGUGCGGGGAGGGCAGGGUCUCGCCAGCAGCCGGUGGCACAUGCGGGCGGCACGGGGGCUGCGUGGUGGCCUCUGUGAUGUCACCUGGCAGAGGGUCGACCAGGGAGCACAGAGCCCUGAACAUCCCUUCAACAGCGCGCCACACGCUCCUGGCACAAACUCCAGACCACGGCACAGCACCCAGAUGGCUGCAGCCACGCAGAAACCCACAACUGCCAGGACCGUGGGGUGACAGCCACGGUGGGCUCUGCAGGCCCCUCUGGUCUAAGACACCAGGAGGCCACAUCCAGCAACCAAGGCCACCCGGCAGGACACGUCAGGAUGGAGGUGCAGUGAAGACUGCGGUGGACGCCUCCAGAGGUUCCCACUUGGCUUCCAGUGGAGCCUCUGCCAAACCCGGCCUGUGCAAGGGCAGAGACAAGGCCCAGCAGGGCUCGAGCAGGCCCAAACGCACGACGCAGCUGCUGUGCCUGGGUCUGAGCUGCACCCACAGUUUUCCUGGCGUCUUGUCCUCUGGAUGGGCCUCUGGAUGAACAUAAACUCCAGGGAAGCUGCAUAGAAUAUGCAGCUCUUCUUUAACGCUCCCUAGAGGAAGAAAGCCCCUCAGCCGGAAGUAUUGUUGACGUCGCCGCCACUACUAAUGAAAUAUUUACUGAAAAGCCAAA
rnacentral:lncRNA from 1 species